rnacentral:lncRNA from 1 species
GGAACACAUUUCAAUCAAAUAUUGCAUAAGGAAGUAUCAAAAACAUAAUCUACUUGUUAUUACAAGCAUUCACAUUCAGUAGAUACAUUUUACAUCACAAUUACAUAUUACAUUCUUUUUAGCUUCCAAAUACAAUCUAGCUUUAACAAUAUUAUUACAGCUUGAUUCUUUUCAUUUCCUUACAUCCCUAAGUAAGGCCGACUCAGGGUACCGCUAUCUCUGGUCUCGGUGGUGGGGCGCUAACUACGGAGCUACGCCCUCGCCUUGCGCCGCCGCGCGCUCACGUGUGAACUUGUAACACCCCAAAACAAC